UCCUGAAGAAGCACGAGGCCCUGAUGUCGGACCUGUCGGCUUACGGCAGCAGCAUCCAGGCCCUGAAGGAGCAGGCCCAGUCCUGCAGGGUGAGUUCAGAACCCUCGGCCCGUCAGAACAUUCUUAUCCACCACGUUCUAACACCAGACCUGUUAACCCGACAGCAACAAGGUAAUCAGCAGGUGCUUUUGUCCUGCAGGACCUGAAGGCCAACGAGUCCCGCCUGAGGGACAUCAACAAGGUGGCAUCUGAACUGGAGUCAGAAGGUCUGAUGGCUGAGGAGGCUCCUAUGGUUCAGGCUCAGCAACAAGAACAUCUGGGUUCUGCUCCUGGAAAGGUGCAUGUUGUCCUCCGCCUCCACCAGAACCAGACGUGGUGUUUUUGUUACCACUCAUUUGUUUGUUUGUUUACAGGAUGAAGCCGACUCUAACACGGCGUCACCCUGGAAGGUGAGUUCAUUCAGCUGAUCAGAGGUCACCUCUGAUGGCCGCAGUCACGGCCGACCGUGCUGACAUCACACAGGAAUUCAGGUGACCCGGCAGGCAUCAGGUGCUGGUGAAAGUGGGGACAUGUCAGCUGGUUGCCAUGGCUACAAUUAUCUUUAUGCAUCUGUAUGACUGCUGACUGGUGUGUGUUUCCUGCGACCUUUGACCUCAGACCGUACGGUUGGGCGUUCAGACGACGGCUAACUUUAAUUCCAUCAAGGUAAGAGGAAGCUCUUCCCUUCCUGUCUGAGUGAUCCGUCUCCAGGUUUCCUCGUCCGGCGUCCAGCCCGCUGGCGUCCACCUUCAUCUCAUCUCACUUCAUUUAUAGUGCAAUACUUUCACAUUAUCAUUUUCCCACACUUCUGUAUACCUGUAUUUUGUUGUUUUUCAAUAAAGAAUGACAAAUUA